AAGCGCAUUCAUAUACCCUCUCUUCAGGCCACAUAAGAGUAUACUGGAGAACUGGCCGAUCACAGCCCUUAUUAGCAUGUACAGUCUUGCCUACUUGAUGCAGUCCUCGUGUGGACACAGGUAUUGUUUCCAGCCUGCUUACCCUAUGAAGAACAGAAGUUUUUCUAUUGGCUGCUGACCCAAAACUGAGGGUCAAAAGGCAUCGAUGAACCAAGUUCUAGGUGCAGGCAGUGGAAUCCAUACAGGACCCAGACUUGAACUAUGAUAAUAGUGAAGGAAAGAUUCUAUGCCAGAAGUUGCUGCGGAAGAAAUCCUGAGAAGCCAGAGUGAUUGGGACUUGAGCCCAAGGAGGGGAUUUGUACUAGGAACUUAAUGGGACUGGGCCAUAUAAGAAUUGAUCAAAGCUGUGAACCUAAUUAAUUCCUAUCACCUCCCCAGAGAAUGAAGUGUGCAUCCAGGGAUUAUGCUCCUCAGGUGUUAGGGAAGGGUGUUUAUAUGU